rnacentral:rRNA from 1 species
UAGGGAAUCUUCCGCAAUGGACGCAAGUCUGACGGAGCAACGCCGCGUGAGUGAAGAAGGAUUUCGGUUCGUAAAACUCUGUUGUUAGAGAAGAACAGCGCAUAGAGUAACUGUUAUGCGUGUGACGGUAUCUAACCAGAAAGCCACGGCUAACUACGUGCCAGCAGCCGCGGUAAUACGUAGGUGGCAAGCGUUGUCCGGAUUUAUUGGGCGUAAAGCGAGCGCAGGCGGUUAGAUAAGUCUGAAGUUAAAGGCAGUGGCUCAACCAUUGUAGGCUUUGGAAACUGUUUGACUUGAGUGCAGAAGGGGAGAGUGGAAUUCCAUGUGUAGCGGUGAAAUGCGUAGAUAUAUGGAGGAACACCGGUGGCGAAAGCGGCUCUCUGGUCUGUAACUGACGCUGAGGCUCGAAAGCGUGGGGAGCGAACAGG